UACGUAGGGGGCAAGCGUUGUCCGGAUUUAUUGGGCGUAAAGCGCAUGCAGGCGGUCCUGUAAGUUUGGAGUGACAGUUUCCGGCUCAACCGGGAAAGUGCUUUGAAAACUGCAGGACUUGAGGGCUUCAGAGGGACACGGAAUUCCGGGUGGAGUGGUGAAAUGCGUAGAUAUCCGGAGGAACACCGAAGGCGAAGGCAGUGUCCUGGGGAGCACCUGACGCUCAAAUGCGAAAGCCAGGGGAGCAAACGGG
rnacentral:rRNA from 1 species